rnacentral:rRNA from 1 species
UGGCGGACGGGUGAGUAACACGUGAGAAUCUACCUUCAGGUCAGGGACAACAGAUGGAAACGCCUGCUAAUCCCUGAUGAGCCCUUGGGUAAAAGAUUAAUUGCCUGAAGAGGAGCUCGCGUCUGAUUAGCUAGUUGGUGAGGUAAGAGCUUACCAAGGCAACGAUCAGUAGCUGGUUUGAGAGGACGAUCAGCCACACUGGGACUGAGACACGGCCCAGACUCCUACGGGAGGCAGCAGUGGGGAAUUUUCCGCAAUGGGCGAAAGCCUGACGGAGCAAUACCGCGUGAGGGAGGAAGGCCUUUGGGUCGUAAACCUCUUUUCUUAGGGAAGAAGCUCUGACGGUACCUAAGGAAUCAGCAUCGGCUAACUCCGUGCCAGCAGCCGCGGUAAU